rnacentral:rRNA from 1 species
AGUUUGAUCCUGGCUCAGAAUGAACGCUGGCGGCAGGCCUAACACAUGCAAGUCGAACGAGGUAGCAAUACCUAGUGGCGGACGGGUGAGUAACACGUGGGAACGUACCCUUUGCUACGGAAUAGCCCUGGGAAACUGGGAGUAAUACCGUAUGAGCCCGAGAGGGGAAAGAUUUAUCGGCAAAGGAUCGGCCCGCGUUGGAUUAGGUAGUUGGUGGGGUAAUGGCCUACCAAGCCGACGAUCCAUAGCUGGUUUGAGAGGAUGAUCAGCCACACUGGGACUGAGACACGGCCCAGACUCCUACGGGAGGCAGCAGUGGGGAAUCUUAGACAAUGGGGGAAACCCUGAUCUAGCCAUGCCGCGUGAUCGAUGAAGGCCUUAGGGUUGUAAAGAUCUUUCAGGUGGGAAGAUAAUGACUGUACCACCAGAAGAAGCCCCGGCUAACUCCGUG